ACUGCCGAGGAUAACUCGGGAGGAAAGGUGGGGAGUGACGUCAAAUCAUCAUGCCCCCUUAUGAUUUGGGCUACACACGUGCUACAAUGGCGGAUACAAAGGGAAGCGAAAGGGUGACCUGAAGCAAACCCCAUAAAGUCCGUCCCAGUUCGGAUUGAAGUCUGCAACUCGACUUCAUGAAGUUGGAAUCGCUAGUAAUCGCGAAUCAGCAUGUCGCGGUGAAUACGUUCCCGGGCCUU
rnacentral:rRNA from 1 species